GGGACUGCCCGGGGCCGGGACACAGCGAGCCCGCCCGGGGCUGGGAGAACCGAGAGAGCUCAGCUGGGAGAGCCAAACUGAAAGAAAGCAGCGCCACGCAGUGCUGGCGCGUCAGCGAGGUUUCUUGUUUGGCUCUGCUCUAGGCAGCCUCUUUAGCCAUCAGGAGCUGAAUCAAGCCUAACUGAGUUUCAUAGGUCAAGAGGUCUGUGACCAGAAGGAAGGAACCAGCCCUUUUUUAAAGAGGAUGUCAUUUAAGUCUCUGAACAGAAAUCUCUGCCCUACAGCACUGCAGAAAGCCUGGUCAGCCCUGGCUAAAAACUCAGGCUAAACUUGG